rnacentral:rRNA from 1 species
GUCUCUUUGAGUUAUAUUAAUAGAGAGUUGGGCCUGCUCGGUGAUUUAUAUUUAACAGCUGCGGUAUUAUAACUGUACUAAGGUAGCAUAAUAAUUUGCUCUAUAAAUUGGGGCUAGAAUGAAUGGUUUGACGAAAAUUAAUCUGUCUCUGUUUUAUUUAUUAGAAAUUAAUUUUUAUAGUGAAAAAGCUUAAAUAGUUUAAAGGGACGAAAAGACCCUAUUGAGCUUAUAUUAAUAUUUAUAGUAUUAUAAGUAUAUAUAUAUAUAUAUAUAUAUAUAUAUAUAUAUAUAUAUUAUGAGUAUAUGUUAUAAAUAUAUUAAUUUUGGUUGGGGUGAUCAAGGAAUAAAGUAUUGAAAAAUUUUUAUAUAACUUCCUUAAUUUUUAAUUUUAUUGAUUAAUAAACCAAUAUUUUUGCUUAUAUGAUAAGUUACCAUAGGGAUAACAGCGUAAUUUUUUUUGAGAGUUCAUAUUGAAAAAAGAGAUUGCGACCUCGAUGUUGGAUUAAAGUAACCUUAAGGUGUAGAGGCUUUAUUAGGUAAAUCUGUUCGAUUUUUAAAAUUUUAC